UGAAAAUGGCGAAACGAAACUUGUGAAUCGUGCAUUUGCUCUUCAUGGUAGCUGCCAGAAAAUCGAAUCAAGCUUAUGGGACACUGGAUUACAGGUUGCUGCCACUACUCCAUGUGCCCGCAAUUGUCUUGCGUGUAUGAUUACACUAACGACGUCGCCCACCACGGCGGAAGUGUUUUGCGUACACGCGUUUCAGCAUGAAGCCUGCAGGUGGACGUAAAUUGUAGAAGGCAGCUAGUGGGGGAGAAGAUCAUGGUCAUAGGUCAUGUGGCUCCUGGAGCUCCCAGUGGGCUCCCUUGUGGAGUACUUUUCAGAACACACACACAGUUCGCUCACAGAUCCAACGAGUAGGAUGU